rnacentral:tRNA from 1 species
CGGGGCGUAGCGCAGCCUGGCUAGCGCGCUUGCUUGGGGUGCAAGAGGUCCCGGGUUCAAAUCCCGGCGCCCCGACCC